rnacentral:rRNA from 1 species
AGUGAACGCUGGCGGUAGGCCUAACACAUGCAAGUCGAACGGCAGCACAGUAAGAGCUUGCUCUUACGGGUGGCGAGUGGCGGACGGGUGAGGAAUACAUCGGAAUCUACUUUUUCGUGGGGGAUAACGUAGGGAAACUUACGCUAAUACCGCAUACGACCUACGGGUGAAAGCAGGGGAUCUUCGGACCUUGCGCGAUUGAAUGAGCCGAUGUCGGAUUAGCUAGUUGGCGGGGUAAAGGCCCACCAAGGCGACGAUCCGUAGCUGGUCUGAGAGGAUGACAAGCACACUGGAACUGAGACACGGUCCAGACUCCUACGGGAGGCAGCAGUGGGGAAUAUUGGACAAUGGGCGCAAGCCUGAUCCAGCCAUACCGCGUGGGUGAAGAAGGCCUUCGGGUUGUAAAGCCCUUUUGUUGGGAAAGAAAAGCAGCAGGUUAAUACCCCGCUGUUCUGACGGUACCCAAAGAAUAAGCACCGGCUAACUUCGUG